rnacentral:rRNA from 1 species
GAUGAACGCUGGCGGCGUGCCUAAUACAUGCAAGUCGAGCGGACCAAAGAGAGCUUGCUCUCUGAGGUUAGCGGCGGACGGGUGAGUAACACGUGGGUAACCUGCCUGUAAGACGGGGAUAACUUCGGGAAACCGAAGCUAAUACCGGAUGAUAAAGAGAAACGCCUGUUUCUUUUUUGAAAGUCGGCCUUGUGCUGACGCUUACAGAUGGGCCCGCGGCGCAUUAGCUAGUUGGUGAGGUAACGGCUCACCAAGGCGACGAUGCGUAGCCGACCUGAGAGGGUGGUCGGCCACACUGGGACUGAGACACGGCCCAGACUCCGACGGGAGGCAGCAGUAGGGAAUCGUCGGCAAUGGACGAAAGUCUGACCGAGCAACGCCGCGUGAGCGAUGAAGGCCUUCGGGUCGUAAAGCUCUGUUGUCAGAGAAGAACAAGUACCGGAGUAACUGCCGGUACCUUGACGGUACCUGACCAGAAAGCCACGGCUAACUACGUGCCAGCCGCCGCCGUAA